CGCGCAGGCGGCUGGCCAAGUCCGAUGUGAAAUCUCCCGGCUCAACUGGGAAACUGCAUCGGAAACUGACCGGCUUGAAGGUGGGAGAGGGUAGUGGAAUUCCCGGUGUAGUGGUGAAAUGCGUAGAUAUCGGGAGGAACACCAGUGGCGAAGGCGACUACCUGGCCCAUUCUUGACGCUGAGGCGCGAAAGCUAGGGGAGCGAACG
rnacentral:rRNA from 1 species